rnacentral:rRNA from 1 species
CCUACGGGGGGCAGCAGUGGGGAAUAUUGGACAAUGGGGGCAACCCUGAUCCAGCCAUGCCGCGUGUGUGAAGAAGGCCCUCGGGUUGUAAAGCACUUUCAGUGAGGAAGAACGCCUGGUGGUUAAUACCCAUCAGGAAAGACAUCACUCACAGAAGAAGCACCGGCUAACUCCGUGCCAGCAGCCGCGGUAAUACGGAGGGUGCGAGCGUUAAUCGGAAUUACUGGGCGUAAAGCGCGCGUAGGUGGCUUGAUAAGCCGGUUGGGAAAGCCCCGGGCUCAACCUGGGAACGGCAUCCGGAACUGUCAAGCUAGAGUGCAGGAGAGGAAGGUAGAAUUCCCGGUGUAGCGGUGAAAUGCGUAGAGAUCGGGAGGAAUACCAGUGGCGAAGGCGGCCUUCUGGACUGACACUGACACUGAGGUGCGAAAGCGUGGGUAGCAAACAGGAUUAGAUACCCGAGUAGUC